rnacentral:rRNA from 1 species
GAUGAACGCUGGCGGCGUGCCUAAUACAUGCAAGUCGAGCGAACAGACGAGGAGCUUGCCCCUACGACGUUAGCGGCGGAAACGUGAGUGACAUGUGGCUAAACUACCUAUAAGACUGGGAUAAACCAGGGAAACCGGUGCUUAUUCCGGAUAAUAUCUUGAGCGGCAAGGUUCAAUAGUGCAAGACGGCUUUUCUGUCAAUCAUAGGAGGACCCGCGCCGCAUUAGCUAGUUGGUAAGGUAACGGCUUACCAAGGCAACGAUGCGUAGCCGACCUGAGAGGAUGAUCGGCCACACUGGAACUGAGACACGGUCCAGACUCCUACGGGAGGCAGCAGUAGGGAAUUUUCCGCAAUGGGCGAAAGCCUGACGGAGCAACGCCGCGUGUAUGAUGAAGGUCUUCGGAUUGUAAAACUCUGUUGUUAGGGAAGAACAAAGGUGUGCGUAACUAUGCACGUGUUGACGGUACCUAAACAGAAAGCCACGGCUAACUACGUG